UGGGUGUGGGUCAGGUCGCGACCUACGCAAGCUGGGUGGAUCAACCGGCGCUGCCGCAGGGCACGCGGGAUCUCGGCCUGCGCACCCAGCC
rnacentral:tRNA from 1 species